UACGGAGGGUGCAAGCGUUAAUCGGAAUUACUGGGCGUAAAGCGUGCGCAGGCGGUUUGUUAAGUCCGUUGUGAAAGCCCCGAGCUCAACUUGGGAAUUGCAGUGGAUACUGGCAGGCUGGAGUACGGUAGAGGAAGGUGGAAUUCCCGGUGUAGCAGUGAAAUGCGUAGAUAUUGGGAGAACACCAGUGGCGAAGGCGGACCUUCUGGAC
rnacentral:rRNA from 1 species